rnacentral:rRNA from 1 species
GAUGAACGCUGGCGGCGUGCCUAAUACAUGCAAGUCGAGCGAACAGACGAGGAGCUUGCUCCUCUGACGUUAGCGGCGGACGGGUGAGUAACACGUGGAUAACCUACCUAUAAGACUGGGAUAACUUCGGGAAACCGGAGCUAAUACCGGAUAAUAUAUUGAACCGCAUGGUUCAAUAGUGAAAGACGGUUUUGCUGUCACUUCUAGAUGGAUCCGCGCCGCAUUAGCUAGUUGGUAAGGUAACGGCUUACCAAGGCGACGAUGCGUAGCCGACCUGAGAGGGGGAUCGGCCACACUGGAACUGAGACACGGUCCAGACGCCUAAGGGAGGCAGCAGUAGGGAAUCUUCCGCAAUGGGCGAAAGCCUGACGGAGCAACGCCGCGUGAGUGAUGAAGGUCUUCGGAUCGUAAAACUCUGUUAUUAGGGAAGAACAAAUGUGUAAGUAACUAUGCACGUCUUGACGGUACCUAAUCAGAAAGCCACGGCUAACUACGUG